rnacentral:rRNA from 1 species
AAAUUGAAGAGUUUGAUCAUGGCUCAGAUUGAACGCUGGCGGCAGGCCUAACACAUGCAAGUCGAACGGUAACAGGAAGCAGCUUGCUGCUUCGCUGACGAGUGGCGGACGGGUGAGUAAUGUCUGGGAAACUGCCUGAUGGAGGGGGAUAACUACUGGAAACGGUAGCUAAUACCGCAUAAUGUCGCAAGACCAAAGAGGGGGACCUUCGGGCCUCUUGCCAUCGGAUGUGCCCAGAUGGGAUUAGCUAGUAGGUGGGGUAACGGCUCACCUAGGCGACGAUCCCUAGCUGGU